ensembl:miRNA
GGGUCACCAAGCAUCCUGGUUUGCCUGGGACCGAGGGGGUUCCCGGGAUGCAAAACUGUCAGUGCUGAAACUAG